CGCUCCUGCCACUCAGCCAAACGCCCGCCCCCAGGGUCGCAGGAAGGCGGGAUCCCAAGUCUCCUCCCCGCGUUGGUGCGUCCUGGCUCGCCCUUCCAGGUGCUUCUCUGAACUUGCGGUAGUGGUCCCGACCCCUGCAAACUUUUCGCCGCCUGCAGCCGACUGGUGUGAAAACUCUCCCUUUGGAUUCUCACCCGUGAGACGGACACGGCAGCUUUACAGGCAAGAAAAGUAAGGGUCACAGAGCUUGAGUGACUCUCCACAAAACCACGUGCUGGGAUUUUAAUAAUGGUCCCAGACCCGUGUUUUCUCCUAAGUAACGUCUGCUCAGUGGUUAACUGUUCAGAACUUAUUUCCUCCUCUGCGAAAUGGGGAAACUAAUAGCCACCUUGUGAAGCUGGUGUGGAGAAUACAGAAAAGAGCAGGAGAAGAAUCUGGUGCAAGGACUGGCCUGUGCUGAAUGCUUCGGACUGUCGCAUCUCUCAGUGUCUCCGGGGAAGUGCCCACUAUGGAAGAAUGGCUGAAAGACACGAUUGGAAUGGAAUGUAGCCGUCCUCUUAUCUGACCACACAGAUACCUGCCAGGCGAGGAAUGCCUCACAUCUUCAUGAUAAUUUUGAAGACUUUCUGAGAAGGGCCUGGCGAGACCUACACAGCUCCUGGACAGGGUUUCACCACUUCUAUCACUGUGCCUUGUCCCUGUUUUCCUUGCAUGGGCACUAGUGUGUAUGCAUGUGAUCACAGGUCGCCUAGUGACUACAUGUGUGGAAAGCUCGCUCAUCUUUGUAUCCAUGGGGCCCAGAACAAAAGCCAUGAAGUAUUU